GUGGGGAAUAUUGGACAAUGGGGGCAACCCUGAUCCAGCCAUGCCGCGUGUGUGAAGAAGGCCUUCGGGUUGUAAAGCACUUUAAGCGGGGAGGAAGGCCUGACGGUUAAUACCCGUCGGGAUUGACGUUACCCGCAGAAUAAGCACCGGCAAACUUCGUGCCAGCAGCCGCGGUAAUACGAAGGGUGCGAGCGUUAAUCGGAAUUACUGGGCGUAAAGCGCGCGUAGGUGGUCGAGUAAGCGAUAGGUGAAAUCCCCGGGCUUAACCUGGGAGCUGCCUGUCGAACUGCUGGGCUAGAGUAUGGUAGAGGGGUGUGGAAUUUCCUGUGUAGCGGUGAAAUGCGUAGAUAUAGGAAGGAACAUCAGUGGCGAAGGCGACACCCUGGACCGAUACUGACACUGAGGCGCGAAAGCGUGGGUAGCGAACAGGAUUAGAAACCCGGGUAGUCC
rnacentral:rRNA from 1 species